rnacentral:rRNA from 1 species
UUAAAUGGCCGCAGUAUUUUGACUGUGCAAAGGUAGCAUAAUCAUUAGUUUCUUAAUUAGAAGCUGGAAUGAAAGGUUGAACGAAAAAAUAACUGUCUCUUUAUAAAUUUAUUUGAAUUUUAUAUUUAAGUUAAAAAGCUUAAAUAUUUUUAAAAGACGAGAAGACCCUAUAGAGUUUUAUAUAAUUUUUUAUAAAAAUUUUAUUUUUAAUUAUAAAAAUUUUAUUAAUAAUUAUAUUUAGUUGGGGUGAUUGAAAAAUUUAAUAAACUUUUUUUUUAUUAAACAUUUAUAUAUGAUUAAUUGAUCCAUUAUUAAUGAUUAAAAGAUUAAAUUACCUUAGGGAUAACAGCGUAAUUUCUUUUUAGAGUUCUAAUCGAUAAAGAAGUUUGCGACCUCGAUGUUGGAUUAAAAUAUAGUUUUGGUGUAGAAGCUAAAAUUUUAGGUCUGUUCGACCUUUAAAAUUUUACAUGAUCUGAGUUUAAACCGGUGUAAGCCAGGUUGGUUUCUAUCUUUAAAUAAAAAAAAUAUUUUAGUACGAAAGGACCAAAUAUUUAAAAUAUUUUUUAAAUAUUGAAUAAUAAUAAUUG